GCCAGCAGCCAUGUCGCCCUGCGGCUGGCAGCCCCCUGAGGCUCAGCAGGUGGGAGCCUGGUCAGUACCUGGAUGGGAGACCUCCUGGGGAAAAACUAAGGUGGCUGCUGGAA
rnacentral:rRNA from 1 species